UGGUUGGUGGCAACACCUUCCAUGGCUUAGUGGCGAACGGGUGAGUAACACGUGAGGAACCUGCCCCGAAGACCGGGAUAACAGAAGGAAACUCCUGCUAAUACCGGAUACCUUCCCCGGACCGCAUGGUCUGGUGAAGAAAUGGAUUCCGCUUCGGGAGGGCCUCGCGGCCUAUCAGCUAGUUGGUGGGGUAACGGCCUACCAAGGCGUCGACGGGUAGCUGGUCUGAGAGGACGAUCAGCCACACUGGGACUGAGACACGGCCCAGACUCCUACGGGAGGCAGCAGUGGGGAAUCUUGCGCAAUGGGCGAAAGCCUGACGCAGCAACGCCGCGUGCGGGAUGAAGGCCUUCGGGUUGUAAACCGCUUUCAGCAGGGACGAAGAUGACGGUACCUGCAGAAGAAGCCCCGGCCAACUACGUGCCAGCAGCCGCGGUAACACGUAGGGGGCGAGCGUUGUCCGGAUUUAUUGGGCGUAAAGAGCUCGUAGGCGGUUCCGUCAGUCGGGUGUGAAAACUCUGGGCUCAACCCAGAGACGCCACCCGAUACUGCGGUGACUAGAGUCCGGUAGGGGAGUGCGGAAUUCCUGGUGUAGCGGUGAAAUGCGCAGAUAUCAGGAGGAACACCAACGGCGAAGGCAGCACUCUGGGCCGGUACUGACGCUGAGGAGCGAAAGCGUGGGGAGCGAACAGGAUUAGAUACCCUGGUAGUCCACGCCGUAAACGUUGGGCACUAGGUGUGGGACCUUUCCAACGGGUUC
rnacentral:rRNA from 1 species